AGCUUUCUGAAUCUAUGUAGAGAUUUUGUCAAACACCAACUCAUUAGGGCUGAUAAGACUUCCAAGAUAAGUGGAGUU
rfam:Schistosoma mansoni, Puerto Rico, WGS project CABG01000000 data, contig: 0141